rnacentral:rRNA from 1 species
GCCAACGACCAUACCAUGUUGAAUACACCAGUUUUCGUCUAAUCACUGAAGUUAAGCAACAUCGGGCGUAAUUAGUACUUGGAUGGGUGACCGCUUGGGAACACUACGUGCCGUUGGCA